AUGCAAUGAUGUGGAAACUUCCUCAAUAGCUUUUUAUAUUUUUCCCAAGCUUCAUAUAAAGAUUCCCCUUCUUGCUGCAUAAAUGAUGUAGUAUCUCCUCUUAGUUU